rnacentral:rRNA from 1 species
GACGUAGGGCGCGAGCGUUGUCCGGAAUUAUUGGGCGUAAAGAGCUCGUAGGUGGCCUGUCGCGUCGGCUGUGAAAACUCGGGGCUCAACUCCGAGCUUGCAGUCGAUACGGGCAGGCUAGAGUUCGGCAGGGGAGACUGGAAUUCCUGGUGUAGCGGUGAAAUGCGCAGAUAUCAGGAGGAACACCGGUGGCGAAGGCGGGUCUCUGGGCCGAUACUGACACUGAGGAGCGAAAGCGUGGGGAGCGAACAGG